rnacentral:tRNA from 1 species
AAAGAUUUAAGUUAUUAAACUAUUAACCUUCAAAGUUAAAAAUAGAAAAAUUCUAAUCUUUA